AUGGAAUUGAGGGUGCCUCAUAUGCUUCAUCUUUUUAAUGUCUUCUGUGAAAAUAAGGAUUCUGAAAAUUGUGCUCAAGUACUAGAAGAAGAAUUACAUAGAAUGCUUGGCAUAAAAUAUGUGAAUGAUGAGUAUGAUUGCAACGUUGUUAGUAUGAAUUCUUUGAAUACCCAUGAUGCUAAUGAUAUGCAAAGGCCCAAGCUUGGGAUGUUAUGUUUGAUGAGAAUGACAUGUUUGAGAACUUAUUUGCUGCAAUUAAUGUUUGUCCCAAGCUUGGGGAUGCUAUGUUUUAUGAAGAUGAUAUUUUUAACCUUCCAAGUUUUGAUGUGCAAAUUUAUUAUGAUGAUAGCAUGCCUCCUAUUUAUGAUGAUUAUAUUGAUGAAAGUGGGUUUGGAAGAGUGUCAACUUUAG
rnacentral:rRNA from 1 species